CAUGACUCCCCACGUGGCGUCAUCUGAUGUAACUCCCCAGGGCAGGAAUGCAGCAAGGAAACGUCAGCUCUGGCGGGUGCGUGGGGAGUCCUUUUU
rnacentral:SRP_RNA from 1 species